CAUUCAGUAGCCUCACUACUUGUUUAUACCCUUGUUUUUUGCGUACUAUUGUUUCCUCGGCGGGCUUGCCCGCCGGUUGGACAAAACUAUAACCUUUUUAAAUCUUCAAUCAGCGUCUGAAUUAUACAUAAUAAUUA
rnacentral:misc_RNA from 1 species